AGAGUCCCAUUGGAGUUGGCCUA
rnacentral:siRNA from 1 species